GCCAGUGCCAGCACAAGUGAUCCCAAAGCCUUGAAAUGAGCCCUCAGAAGAGACGCAGUUUGUCUGGGUCAGCCUUAGCCCCCAUCAUUAUUUUUUUUUUUAUGGUUACGGCAGUGGCCAGGUGAGAGGGGGGACAUGGAGAAGCCAAGAGCCCUUCACCUGUCCCCGUCACAGCCCACAGCCCCAUCUCCCCAUGCCCCCCCCACCGCCAGCCCCAGAGCAGGGACUGGGAGCAUCCUCCAGCAAUUACAGCCCGACAGCGGAAAAUCAGCCAUAAAGCAAAAGACAGAGGGAGGAGAGGUGAGUGUUUAUCCCUGAGAAAUAUGGAGAUUUGCCACGAUGAGGCUGGCUAAGAACAUUACAUUCAGCACGCUAAGCCAGAGAGUUUCAGCAGGUUUAUUCAUGGCUCAGGCGUUAGGCUCCCUAUCAGCAGAAAGGCUUUAAGCGUGUCGGGGAUUUACAGGCAACAAGAGAAGAAAGCAACCAGCUCCUUGGGAAUAGCCUGGCAAGGCUGACGUCUCAGACAGGUCUGUAUUUCAUCGGUGCUAUAAGACGUUUAGGGGGAGAGGCUGCCUUUCUGAGGCUCAUAGGGGAUUCCUAGGGCUAACGCAACCCCCCCCCCAAUUACGGUCACUCACGUUUUCUGUCCCUUUUCAUGCAAAUCUGUAGCCUUUUCCCUCUUUACCCCAGAGGAUCCUUCUGGCCGGUUUGCUCAGCGCCCUGCACACCAGCUGCCUUUCCCUGCGGCCGUGCCUGCAGCUACCCCAGCCUAAACCCCAGCUGGGCCACAGAGGAAACACCACGAGGAUUUAGGAGUCUCCGAGGUAAUUCGCUGGAUCACAGAUAAGCGCCCUGCACGGGAAGUCUCCGUGCACCACGAGGACACGGCUCCAUGCAGAAGAAUCCUCCGUGCCCUUAAAACCAGCCCGGGGGCCGGGCAGGAAAGGUUGGAGGAGGAACGUCACCCUUUAAGCGUGCGGCUGCGGGGCUGGUGCCAGGCUCGGCUCCCAUCCUUCCCCACCGCAACUGGGGCGACGCAGAGAAAAAUGAGAGCGCAGGAGCAGCAGACACCGAUCGGAGGGGGGUGAUUAAUGGGAGGAGCACCUCGGCGUGGCCUCGGGAGCGGCCUCGGGAGCGCGGGGAGCUGCUUCGGCAGAGGAUGGAGCAGCAGGGAGCCAUGCUCGCAGGUGGCAGGCUGGGAACCACGUUAGAGAUCAGCCUGGGGAUGAAGACAACGCAGCGUCCAGCUCCCCUCCUGCCCAGGCACCCCCCCGACCAUCUCCCCAGGGGUUCACCAGCAGGACUGAGACCCUUCUCUCAUUCCCCCUGUCCCCCCUCCUGCCCUGUCUCACACACG
rnacentral:lncRNA from 1 species